GACGAACGCUGGCGGCGCGCCUAACACAUGCAAGUCGAACGAGCGAGAGGGAGCUUGCUUUCUCGAGCGAGUGGCGAACGGGUGAGUAACGCGUGAGGAACCUGCCUCAAAGAGGGGGACAACAGUUGGAAACGACUGCUAAUACCGCAUAAGCCCACGGUGCCGCAUGGCACAGAGGGAAAAGGAGCAAUCCGCUUUGAGAUGGCCUCGCGUCCGAUUAGCUAGUUGGUGAGGUAAUGGCCCACCAAGGCGACGAUCGGUAGCCGGACUGAGAGGUUGAACGGCCACAGUGGGACUGAGACACGGCCCAGACUCCUACGGGAGGCAGCAGUGGGGAAUAUUGCACAAUGGGGGAAACCCUGAUGCAGCGACGCCGCGUGGAGGAAGAAGGUCUUCGGAUUGUAAACUCCUGUUGUUGGGGAAGAUAAUGACGGUACCCAACAAGGAAGUGACGGCUAACUACGUG
rnacentral:rRNA from 1 species